UGGGGCAUCAUGCCCAGCGUGUUUGUUUCUUUUUUUUAGCUCAUUGAACAUUUUGGUGUUACAACCCCUCUUCAACCCACUCAGCAUGAUAUUGGAGGAUCUUGUUAGUGUUCAACCUUCUUCUGGGGGCUUGAUCCCUAUACCACUCAGAGAGGAGAAAAUGAUCUGCAAUAAAGUUGACAAUCCAAAGACAAACCAGAUAAUGGCAUACCACUAAAACCAAUUUAAAACAACAACUAUGCCACUAGGAACAACAACAACAAAAAACAACAGUAAUAACAGAGUCAAAGCUAAACCAGUUAUGGAUAUACCAUAAGAAUGAAUAAUAGCUACAACUAUACAACCUUUAACAACAGAAAAGAGAUCUGCAAUAAUAAUAUAGAUACAAAGACAAACCAAAUAUGACACACAGUAAAUAUCUACUAAAAGCAACAGCCAUACCACCAUUAACAAUAGAAAAGAAUUCAGCAAUAAUAGCAUAGUCAACUAAGUAGCUAAAAAUUAAUAAAGUUUAAUAAUAAAAAUGGAGGGGAUGGGGAAGGGGAAGAUAAAACACAUAAAAUUAAAAAAAAAGAUGAGAAGAGAUAUGAGAUUAAAGAGCUAUGAGAUAAAAAUCCAAUUAAAGAAUAAAAGAAAAUACAAUUAGGUAAAAGUAAGAGUAAAAGACAAGCAAAAGAAAAAUAAAAAAAAAUAAAAGCAAAGAGCAAAAGAUAGGAAAAAAAGAAACAAAACAAAACCUUCCAAAAAACCAAAGAAAGAUAGAAAUGAGUCUAAACAAUUCCCCCAUGUGUUUGUUUCUUUCCAGAGACUGUAGUAUAGUAACCCACUGCAUGGGGGUGGGGGACAGUGAGUCACUACUGGGGCCUGUUUUGUUUCCACACCCUCUUUUUAUGUGUGAAUGUGGAAGCCUGCACUGCCUUACUGCUCAGAGGUGUCAGUCCAUGGUGUAGUGUCACCCUUAGGGCUGUGUUCACUGCAGCAGCUCUUAGUGUUGGUGCCCAUCUAUGUGCCAAGUCCCUGCUAUCUGACUAGAUUUAUGGCCCAUGAGCUUAUGAGGUGCCUCCUUUGCUCCAGAGGUCCCUCUGUACACCAAGGAAGUGACAAGGAUCCCAGCCAAAGUGCAUUUCUAAUCACAUAGGCAGACAGGAAGAGCAAACAGACCACGCAGCUCUGUACUGGAAAUAGGGGGUCAAGCAGUGUGCUGGACUCAAUGUCAGCACUUUCAGACACAGCUCCCUCAGAAAACCACAUGACUGGUCUGGCUCCUUACCUCAGAGGGUGGGACUGCCAUGUCCUUCACAACCUGAGCUCACCACUGCUUAAACUUCUUAUGGGACCUGUGAUCAGCCUGCCACUUCUCCAUGACUGUCUCCCCCAGUCACUGCAGUGGGUGAUCCCACCAACGCAGAAGUGCAGUAACUUCUGGUUCCUGUAGUAACUCAGUCCUAAACAAUAACCCUUUCCCCAAAAUGGCUUCUGAGUGUAUCAUUCCCAAGAUGGUGGAAGCUGUGGUGAAUUUCUCCUCCAACCCUAGCCUGACUGAUGCAGAGUCACUUUCAGAGUAAAAGUCCACGAGUAUAGGAAGCUUACAAUAACUGUGGGGUUUUCCUGGGGCUAGUGCUGCCGAUCCUUGUUUCUCCCUGGGGUUUCCAACCCUCUCUGGGCUUACCUCACUUUUGCUGAGAUAGGACCUCCUCCCUAGGAGCCAGAGUUAGCGUUCCAGACCCAAAGCUUUAUUCUUUUCUCUGUGCUGUCUUCACUUUCUCCAGUUUCUCUGGGGCUUAUAGUUUUUCAGCUGGCUCUUUCUUGAUUCCCAAAGCUCUAUUUUUUCUGUUCACUAAAUUCUUUUUUUUUUUUCCAGGUACCUGGGAUCGAAUUCAGGACCUCGCACUUGUGAGGCAGGUGCAGCGCCACGGAGCCAAAUCCCUGGCCUGUUCACUAAAUGCUUGUUUUGUAGCUGUCUUGACUCUUGGUCCCAGAGAGGCUGAAUUUGCUGCUGGCCUUUAUGCUGCCAUUUUUAUUCUCCAAGACUCUUUGGUAUACCAGGAGUGGAGAGGAUGCAUCAUAUUGUAUGACAUUAACAUGAACUCCAGGAUGAGACAGAAGGAUUUAUUUAGGAACUUAUCCGGAGUCAAUGAAUAUUUCCCCCACCAUUUCCUUGCUUCUAAGAUGUUGCCUUCCUGCUGCCAGCUCCGGACAGGGAAAGGGAGGAAGGGCAAGAGACAGCACCCCCGACCUACAGCCCUUUCCAAAACUAGGGCGCUAAGCACCACUCGGAAGCCAUAUUUCUUCAUCUGGCUGAGUUUAUGAGUAAAAUUCAACAUGAAUUUUGGUGAAGACUCUGUUACUCAAAGGACAGGACCAGCCCCUCUUGAAGUCUGCUGCCACAGUAUGGCCCAGAGGCCCCACUGCAAAUUACCCUGUGAGACAAUCUAUGGGCUUCAAGACACUUGUCAGAAGCCCCGGAGGGGUGAGCUGGUGGGAGUGGGGCCCUCUGCAAGCACAGACCCUGCUGAGGUGGAAGUCCGAGUGCUGGUCUCCCGAAUGUCAGGACACGGAGCCAAGGAAAAAGCAGGUACUUAGUCCUUGUCCUCAGCAGGUGGCACAUAGCUCUGCCAAUUGUAGGAGCCAGUCAGCCUUUGCAGUCCAACCAUGGCCCAGCCUCCAGCCACCUCCAUGCUGGCCUUGGGGAUCUAUGACCACCCGGGGGAGCAGUUCUUCAGCUGUGGAGAAGCCACCUGCAGGGCCUACAGCCCAGGGAGGGCUGUGCAGGCUGCACCCCCAUCUUCCAAAGGAGUCGCUGGAUUUCAGGUCAGAGCUUUAUUAGUGAAGCAGACACAGAGGUGGCGAUUUGUCCUGGAUUACCAGUAUGGGUUCCAGAGCCAAAUGCCUGGGUUGGCGUCCAGUUCCGCCACUUGGGGUCGCAGGAUCUUAGCACAUCUCUACCCCUUUGACUCGUUUCCUUCUACAAAAUCAGCAUAGUAAUGGCAGUUCCUACCGCAAGGGAGUGGGUGAAGCAUGUGUAAAGUGCCUGGCACAGAAUAAGUAUGAGAUGAAGGCCUGUUACCGUGGAUAUUACCCUAUUCCCCGCAGUGUCCAGGGAAGCCCGUCUCUGUCCCUGGGAAAGCCACCAGCAGCAGUGAAGGCACCAGGGCUCUUCAGGAGGCACCCACUCUGCCGCCUGCCACCCUUUAUGGAUGGUGAGUGCUGCGCCAGCCUUGCUGCGAUGCACCUGGCCUGCAGUAGCCGUUGUCCGAUACUCCUGGCACAGUUCACUUUGAACUGAUUAUUUUAGUUGGUGGUGAGAAGCGGAUACUGCUCACCUGGCCACCGUGUUGCUUAUGAAUCUGGACGCUGGCCAACCACCAAAACCCAGCUCCCUGGAUGAACCCGUGCAAGAGCAUCCAGUUUGCCAGAAAUCAGUCUGUUCAGUUUAUGGACUUACUGUUUCUUGAAAACCAACCUAUCCAAAAUCAAACCACAAGUCGAAUACAAACUUCUGGGGAGGUGAGGCUGCUGUGUAGAAUUUUUUAAGGUACACAGAUUAUGCUCCCACCAGGCCUAAGAGGUGGCACAGGGUGUGGGCUUCACCCAGGCUUGCUGAUGGCCCCCAUGCCCAGCCAAGACCCAGAAGAAAACUAGCUCUGGUGCUGAGUCCACAGCCUGCCCGAGGAGCUGCCAUACUUCUAGCCGUGUGGAAAGGCAGGAGGAUAGUUCUGCCUUGCCUGCCGGCUGCUGGCCUCUCCUGUGGAGACUGUGCAUCAUGAGAGUGGACUGAGAAGCAAUUUCCAGUUGGCAGUGUUCCCAAAGAGGGCGCGUUAUUGCCUUCAUUCUAUUUCAGCUUCCUCUCCGCGUUUCUCAGUUCCGUGGCCUAGGAGCGUGGUCUGUCCCCGUGCGCGUGGUCUUCCAGAGCCCUCGCAGAAAACCUCAAGGCUUUUGCCCCGUUGUGCUCACAGCCCACAGCAGGGAGCGUUCACCCCAGCAGAGCCGGUCCCAGCCAGAUCCUGACUGGCGGAGGGAAUCCUCCAGUGCGCUGUCCUGCUAGAAGGCACGCGUGUGUGGAAAGGCCUCUGGGCCGAGGGCAACUCUCUGCUCAUUGCAUGAGGGUUUUACCAGGGAGAAGUGUUGGGGAGAACGGAGGAGCCCAAGGUCAAGGGCACGGGCAUCUGCAGUCACCCUCGGAGUGGAGUCCGGACGCCCCUGACCCUUCCUCCAGCAGGAGGUGAGUCUCACACUGCCUGCUGCAGAAGGGAUCGCCAGGACCUUCCUGCUCUGUGACACGGGGUGGCAGUAGAGGCCCGGGAACUGCUCCUGGCUAGAGCAGCCAUGGGAAGCCGGCACUUCUCGUGUCUCUUCUAGUCCAGAGGGAACAGGCCGGCUUGUGCUGGAUUUUGAGGAGACGCCUUAUGGUUUCACGAAGCAGUUGGAGGGGACACGGCUCAGGGUUUUCACUGGGAUUGGUUUAAAAGUGCAUUACGGGAUACUCUUCUGUUUGGAGAUUUGAGAGGAGUCAUGACUAACAAAGGCCUGGCAGGAACAAAGACUGGUGUGUCCUGAUCCCAGCCUGUGAUGGUUCACAAGCCCAUCUCUCUCUUCUUGAUUGUUUAGCCUUGGCCCUUGCAGGUCUGCUGUGCCUCUCCUGAGACUGGGCAUGCAGAGGUUCCUAGGGCUCUCCACCACUCACCCUGGUCUCCUUCCGACUGAGCCAAGGUGUGCAGGGUGGCCCUUGCCCACAUGACAAAGUGGGUGGAAGGGACACCCUAGCUUCCUUUCUCAGGGUACCUUCCAGCACACAAUGGGAGGCAGCCAUGUGCAAGCCAGGAAGAAAACCCUCACCAGAAACCAACCCGGUGAUGCUUUGAUCUUGGACUUUCAGCCUCCAGAACUGUGUGUCUGUUGUUAGGCAACCUUUAUUUAGUCAUGGUGACUUCCUAUUUCCCCAGCUCAGAAUCAGGCACAUCAUUGUAGUGGUGGGGCAACCUUGCUGAACUCAGUUUGUCUUCUAGGCACAUACCCUCCAAAACUCCCUUAGCAUUCUAAAGGCCAUCCUUUGGAACACUGGUCAUGCUCACAAACACUUCUGGAUUCUUCUUAUUUUUCCUCAAACUGCAUUCUCUUGUAGAUGGCAGAUGGCAAUCCUGGGAAUGGACCUACAGACUUGUGCAUCUCAGUUCAUGUGCAGGAUUAGUAGUGAUUUAUGACUUAUUUAUUACUUACAAGGGGCAUCACAGGCUGGGUCUUCUCUGUAGCCCCUACAGAGGCCUCACUCAGCAGAUCUCCACACGUUACGCGCAAAGUCCUAACCGUAGUGGCUUUUGGCUGUUCUUCAAAGCACUCACAUAUAGCAGCACAUGGUUGUGCAUCUAGAAAUUUUCAAAUCAUCCCUUCCUAGAUAGGAACAGGAAGGCACCAGCGACACAGGGGUCUAGCCAGUGGCAUGCUGUGUUCUUACUGAACCUGUUUAAAAAGGUAAUUAUCUCUAGAAAUAACUGUAUUCAUUACCAGAUUUUAAAAUGUACAGCUUACCCCCUCUAGCCAUGGGACUCUUAAAUCUGUGUUUUGAUUUGUGAAAAAUGAUCUCAAAUAAAUAUUG